rnacentral:piRNA from 1 species
UGCAUUUGCUUAUAUGAAUCCAGCCUAAUG